GAUGAAGAACGCAGCGAAAUGCGAUAAGUAAUGUGAAUUGCAGAAUUCAGUGAAUCAUCGAAUCUUUGAACGCACAUUGCGCCCGCCGGUAUUCUGGCGGGCAUGCCUGUUCGAGCGUCAUUUCAACCAUCAAGCCCCCGGCUUGUGUUGGGGACCUGCGGCUGCCGCAGGCCCUGAAAAGCAGUGGCGGGCUCGCUGUCACACCGAGCGUAGUAGCAUACAUCUCGCUCUGGGCGUGCUGCGGGUUCCGGCCGUUAAACCACCUUCAUAACCCAAGGUUGACCUCGGAUCAGGUAGGAAGACCCGCUGAACUUAAGCAUAUCAAUAAGCGGAGGA
rnacentral:misc_RNA from 1 species